GCGCACAGCCAUCGCCACCCGGCCAUCCCCCCCGGAGGCCGCGCGGUCGGUGGUUUUACCCAACUGCCCGUACUAGUUCAGGAAACCGAGGGCUAGAGCACGGACUGGGGAAGACGCACAGGUGGAGCGCAGGCCUCCCGGAUUCUAGCAGAUGCUGACGCAGCCUAACGCACGGUUCCAGUGGAAACGGAGAACCCAGACAUGUCAAUGACCAGCCUCAGCCAUGUAGAUCACGACAAGUCUGGAAGGGGAGGAGAGAGUGGAGCCAUAAGAUGGAAGGGACUUGGGUCCCUGAAUGACCGCAUGGAACAGAACUGCCCACCAGCC